UACGGAGGGUGCAAGCGUUAUCCGGAUUCACUGGGCUUAAAGGGCGCGUAGGCGGGCUAGUAAGUCAGUGGUGAAAUCUCCGGGCUUAACCCGGAAACUGCCAUUGAUACUAUUAGUCUUGAAUACCAUGGAGGUGAGCGGAAUAUGUCAUGUAGCGGUGAAAUGCUUAGAUAUGACAUAGAACACCAAUGGCGAAGGCAGCUCGCUACGCGGUUAUUGACGCUGAGGCACGAAAGCGUGGGGAUCAAACAGG
rnacentral:rRNA from 1 species